GCUCAGCAGUGGUGCAGCACAGAAAAGUAAAUACUGAAAAAAACAGCCAGAAACACAGCCUUAAGCUUGGCCUCAGACAGAACAGUGCAUCCCCGUGGCCAUGACACCGCUGUCUGAAUAACAUGCUUGUUAGGAAUCUCCCUUGAUGUCAGUCGCUGCACAGAGGGGAUGAAAGCGGGCGAAUGAAAGAGAGGCCAAAAGCCAUCAGAUGCGUCUUCGCGAGCCGCCUUUGGCUUCAAAGGCAAACCUCGGGCGCUGUGACGGAGAACAACAGCUGACGACGUCACGGAGGACACAGGACAUUAAAACCAAAAACCUCCAUGCUGCUCCCAAAGCAACUCUGAGAGCACAAACAAGGAGGAACAACAAAGAUGCAGAAGAGGAGUUGAGGUUAAAUGAGGAAGAGAGAGGGAAAAACAAGGAGACCCAGAGAGCCAGGAAAGGGUUCAUGGGGGUCGGUGUGUGCACACAUCAGGGUGGCAGAGAGAUCAGAGCUCCAGAGAGCGUUCCUGUGUUUGGGAUAGGAGGGAAAGAUAAAUAAGCCAGGAUGACUGCACAAAGAGAGGCAAGGAGGAAAUGGGAAUGUUGAGAUACCGAAAGGAAAGUCCGUGUCUCUCUCUCUCUCUCUUACAAACACACACACACAUAUGGGUUCAGAUGGCGCUAAGGGGUAAACAGACAUGUGUGUGUGUGUGUACACGUGUGUGUUCUGUUACCAUGGAACACGAGUUUAAGAAGUUUGUUAUGGAUUUGUUUUCUAAAUGACAGGCCUUCACAACAACUCCCUCCACUGCUGCGUGCCAGUAGAGAGCGUAUGUUUUACAUCAUGACUCUGUCUGCUGCUUUGCAGUUAAAAAAAAGGUUUGGCCAUUCUGUAUCCUAGCAUGAGAGCCUUUCCUCUCCUGCGCAUUUCUUACAGUGAAAUCAACUCCGAACCUGCUAUUUUCUUGGAGGUAAACAUGUAGAUAAACUGUGUUGCUUCAAA